rnacentral:rRNA from 1 species
AGACCCGAAACCCGGUGAUCUAGCCAUGGGCAGGUUGAAGGUUGGGUAACACUAACUGGAGGACCGAACCGACUAAUGUUGAAAAAUUAGCGGAUGACCUGUGGCUGGGGGUGAAAGGCCAAUCAAACCGGGAGAUAGCUGGUUCUCCCCGAAAGCUAUUUAGGUAGCGCCUCGUGAAUUCAUCUCCGGGGGUAGAGCACUGUUUCGGCUAGGGGGCCAUCCCGGCUUACCAACCCGAUGCAAACUGCGAAUACCGGAGAAUGUUAUCACGGGAGACACACGGCGGGUGCUAACGUCCGUCGUGAAGAGGGAAACAACCCAGACCGCCAGCUAAGGUCCCAAAGUCAUGGUUAAGUGGGAAACGAUGUGGGAAGGCCCAGACAGCCAGGAUGUUGGCUUAGAAGCAGCCAUCAUUUAAAGAAAGCGUAAUAGCUCACUGGUCGAGUCGGCCUGCGCGGAAGAUGUAACGGGGCUAAACCAUGCACCGAAGCUGCGGCAGCGACGCUGAUGCGUUGUUGGGUAGGGGAGCGUUCUGUAAGCCUGCGAAGGUGUGUCGUGAGGCAUGCUGGAGGUAUCAGAAGUGCGAAUGCUGACAUAAGUAACGAUAAAGCGGGUGAAAAGCCCGCUCGCCGGAAGACCAAGGGUUCCUGUCCAACGUUAAUCGGGGCAGGGUGAGUCGACCCCUAAGGCGAGGCCGAAAGGCGUAGUCGAUGGGAAACGGGUUAAUAUUCCCGUACUUGGUGUUACUGCGAAGGGGGGACGGAGAAGGCUAUGUUGGCCGGGCGACGGUUGUCCCGGUUUAAGCGUGUAGGUGUGUGUUCCAGGUAAAUCCGGUUCACUUUAACACUGAGGCGUGAUGACGAGGCACUACGGUGCUGAAGCAACAAAUGCCCUGCUUCCAGGAAAAGCCUCUAAGCAUCAGGUAACAUCAAAUCGUACCCCAAACCGACACAGGUGGUCAGGUAGAGAAUACCAAGGCGCUUGAGAGAACUCGGGUGAAGGAACUAGGCAAAAUGGUGCCGUAACUUCGGGAGAAGGCACGCUGACACGUAGGUGAAGUGAUUUACUCAUGGAGCUGAAGUCAGUCGAAGAUACCAGCUGGCUGCAACUGUUUAUUAAAAACACAGCACUGUGCAAACACGAAAGUGGACGUAUACGGUGUGACGCCUGCCCGGUGCCGGAAGGUUAAUUGAUGGGGUCAGCGCAAGCGAAGCUCCUGAUCGAAGCCCCGGUAAACGGCGGCCGUAACUAUAACGGUCCUAAGGUAGCGAAAUUCCUUGUCGGGUAAGUUCCGACCUGCACGAAUGGCGUAAUGAUGGCCAGGCUGUCUCCACCCGAGACUCAGUGAAAUUGAACUCGCUGUGAAGAUGCAGUGUACCCGCGGCAAGACGGAAAGACCCCGUGAACCUUUACUAUAGCUUGACACUGAACAUUGAGCCUUGAUGUGUAGGAUAGGUGGGAGGCUUUGAAGUGUGGACGCCAGUCUGCAUGGAGCCGGCCUUGAAAUACCACCCUUUAAUGUUUGAUGUUCUAACGUGGACCCGUGAUCCGGGUUGCGGACAGUGUCUGGUGGGUAGUUUGACUGGGGCGGUCUCCUCCUAAAGAGUAACGGAGGAGCACGAAGGUUGGCUAAUCCUGGUCGGACAUCAGGAGGUUAGUGCAAUGGCAUAAGCCAGCUUGACUGCGAGCGUGACGGCGCGAGCAGGUGCGAAAGCAGGUCAUAGUGAUCCGGUGGUUCUGAAUGGAAGGGCCAUCGCUCAACGGAUAAAAGGUACUCCGGGGAUAACAGGCUGAUACCGCCCAAGAGUUCAUAUCGACGGCGGUGUUUGGCACCUCGAUGUCGGCUCAUCACAUCCUGGGGCUGAAGUAGGUCCCAAGGGUAUGGCUGUUCGCCAUUUAAAGUGGUACGCGAGCUGGGUUUAGAACGUCGUGAGACAGUUCGGUCCCUAUCUGCCGUGGGCGCUGGAGAACUGAGGGGGGCUGCUCCUAGUACGAGAGGACCGGAGUGGACGCAUCACUGGUGUUCGGGUUGUCAUGCCAAUGGCACUGCCCGGUAGCUAAAUGCGGAAGAGAUAAGUGCUGAAAGCAUCUAAGCACGAAACUUGCCCCGAGAUGAGUUCUCCCUGAGACUUAGAGUCUCCUGAAGGAACGUUG